AGUGAACGCUGGCGGUAGGCCUAACACAUGCAAGUCGAACGGCAGCACAGUAAGAGCUUGCUCUUACGGGUGGCGAGUGGCGGACGGGUGAGGAAUACAUCGGAAUCUACUUUUUCGUGGGGGAUAACGUAGGGAAACUUACGCUAAUUCCGCAUACGACCUACGGGUGAAAGCAGGGGAUCUUCGGACCUUGCGCGAUUGAAUGAGCCGAUGUCGGAUUAGCUAGUUGGCGGGGUAAAGGCCCACCAAGGCGACGAUCCGUAGCUGGUCUGAGAGGAUGAUCAGCCACACUGGAACUGAGACACGGUCCAGACUCCUACGGGAGGCAGCAGUGGGGAAUAUUGGACAAUGGGCGCAAGCCUGAUCCAGCCAUACCGCGUGGGUGAAGAAGGCCUUCGGGUUGUAAAGCCCUUUUGUUGGGAAAGAAAAGCAGCAGGUUAAUACCCCGCUGCUCUGACGGCACCCAAAGAAUAAGCACCGGCUAACUUCGUG
rnacentral:rRNA from 1 species